UUUUUUUUUUUUUUUUUUUUUUUUUUUUUUUUUUUGACC
rnacentral:ribozyme from 1 species